rnacentral:rRNA from 1 species
AGAGCGAACGCUGGCGGCAUGCUUAACACAUGCAAGUCGCACGGGCACUUUCGGGUGUCAGUGGCGGACGGGUGAGUAACGCGUAGGUAUCUGUCCAUGGGUGGGGGAUAACGCCGGGAAACUGGUGCUAAUACCGCAUGAUGACUGAGGUCCAAAGGCGCAAGUCGCCUGUGGAGGAGCCUGCGUUCGAUUAGCUUGUUGGUGGGGUAACGGCCUACCAAGGCGACGAUCGAUAGCUGGUCUGAGAGGAUGAUCAGCCACAUUGGGACUGAGACACGGCCCAAACUCCUACGGGAGGCAGCAGUGGGGAAUAUUGGACAAUGGGCGCAAGCCUGAUCCAGCAAUGCCGCGUGGAUGAAGAAGGUCUUCGGAUUGUAAAGUCCUUUCGACGGGGACGAUGAUGACGGUACCCGUAGAAGAAGCCCCGGCUAACUUCGUGCCAGCAGCCGC